GUGAACGACGGUGCAGGAGGCGGGGGAGUAUGGCGGGUGGGAGCGUUAAGCGGGAUUCCUGGGCGUAAAGCGUGGGCAGGCGGUUUGGUUAGACAUGCGUGAAAGCCCCGGGGUUAACCUGGGAACUGCGCUUGUGACCGCCAGGCUAGAGUACGGCAGAGGGGGGUGGAAUUCCACGUGUAGCAGUGAAAUGCGUAGAGAUGUGGAGGAACACCAAUGGCGAAGGCAGCCCCCUGGGUCGAUACUGACGCUCAUGCACGAAAGCGUGGGUAGCAAACAGGAUUAGAUACCCGGGUAGUC
rnacentral:rRNA from 1 species